GUGGGUGGUUUUAUAUUUCGUAGGAUUUUGAUUUUUUGGUUUUUUUUUGAUAAGAAUUUGAUGUUUGGAUAUUUUUUUGAAUUUUAUUUUGUGAAUGAAGUUAAUAUGAAGGGGUAGUUUUUUUGUGUAUUGUUUGGAAAAAAUUUUAGGUUUUAAAUAUAGUUUGAUAAGUGGUUUUUUUUUUUAGGGAUAUUUAGAGAGGUAAGCGGAGUUUUAUGUUU
rnacentral:misc_RNA from 1 species